rnacentral:rRNA from 1 species
UACGAAGGGGGCUAGCGUUGCUCGGAAUUACUGGGCGUAAAGUGCACGUAGGCGGCUUCUUAAGUCGGUGGUGAAAUCCUGGAGCUCAACUCCAGAACUGCCUUCGAUACUGGGAAGCUCGAGUCCGGGAGAGGUGAGUGGAACUGCGAGUGUAGAGGUGAAAUUCGUAGAUAUUCGCAAGAACACCAGUGGCGAAGGCGGCUCACUGGCCCGGUACUGACGCUGAGGUGCGAAAGCGUGGGGAGCAAACAGG